GCCCUUGACCGACCGGAUGACACGGACUGAUACCUACGGACGACUAGCACUUGCUCCAUAUUUAUCGUAUAGCAUCCUUCAAUUUACGAGAAAUACAUCAGAAAAGUAGCUGUCCCCCUGCUCAGAUUUUUGUCUGCUGAUACCUUUAGCCUCACAUGUGACCUGACCUCUAUGUGGCAGUGCAGACAUUGUGUAACCAGAGAGAUUAGCAGAACACAGACACCGAGGUCAGCGCCUGCAAGGCACAAACUGUGCUGGGAGUCUAUGCAAUGAAAA